rnacentral:rRNA from 1 species
GAUGAACGCUGGCGGCGUGCCUAAUACAUGCAAGUCGAGCGAACAGACGAGGAGCUUGCUCCUCUGACGUUAGCGGCGGACGGGUGAGUAACACGUGGAUAACCUACCUAUAAGACUGGGAUAACUUCGGGAAACCGGAGCUAAUACCGGAUAAUAUAUUGAACCGCAUGGUUCAAUAGUGAAAGACGGUUUUGCUGUCACUUAUAGAUGGAUCCGCGCCGCAUUAGCUAGUUGGUAAGGUAACGGCUUACCAAGGCAACGAUGCGUAGCCGACCUGAGAGGGUGAUCGGCCACACUGGAACUGAGACACGGUCCAGACGCCUACGGGAGGCAGCAGUAGGGAAUCUUCCGCAAAGGGCGAAAGCUUGACGGAGCAACGCCGCGUGAGUGAUGAAGGUCUUCGGAUCGUAAAACUCUGUUAUUAGGGAAGAACAAAUGUGUAAGUGACUAUGCACGUCUUGACGGUACCUAAUCAGAAAGCCACGGCUAACUACGUG